rnacentral:rRNA from 1 species
GAUGAACGCUGGCGGCGUGCCUAAUACAUGCAAGUCGAGCGAACAGACGAGGAGCUUGCUCCUCUGACGUUAGCGGCGGACGGGUGAGUAACACGUGGAUAACCUACCUAUAAGACUGGGAUAACUUCGGGAAACCGGAGCUAAUACCGGAUAAUAUAUUGAACCGCAUGGUUCAAUAGUGAAAGACGGUUUUGCUGUCACUUAUAGAUGUAUCCGCGCCGCAUUAGCUAGUUGGUAAGGUAACGGCUUACCAAGGCAACGAUGCGUAGCCGACCUGAGAGGAUGAUCGGCCACACUGGAACUGAGACACGGUCCAGACUCCUACGGGAGGCAGCAGUAGGGAAUCUUCCGCAAUGGGCGAAAGCCUGACGGAGCAACGCCGCGUGAGUGAUGAAGGUCUUCGGAUCGUAAAACUCUGUUAUUAGGGAAGAACAAAUGUGUAAGUAACUAUGCACGUCUUGACGGUACCUAAUCAGAAAGCCCCGGCUAACUACGUG